rnacentral:lncRNA from 1 species
AGUUCAAGGUUCUUCGCGGCGGUUGUUGGCAAAAGAUGAAUUUUGAGAGAGAAAAUUCUCAAAUGAGUGAGAGAGACAACUCUCAAAUGAGUAGAAUCAACCAACACCAUGAUUUAAUAGCAAAUCCAUGGAUUCAACACUACAGAUCUUCAAGCAAACAAGAAAGUGCAAUAGCUGCAUCCCCUAUAACUCAACAAGUUGUUAGUUUCAGCCAAAAGAAGAAAAAU